GUUUACUAAACAUAAGAGGUGGCUUAAAUCUAGUAACUGUUAAGGUUUCAGGUGUGGACGCGUGCAAUAUUUCAAUGUAGUUCUGCACCAUUACUACCUUGCACAUAUGUAAUGGACAAGAAUUUCAGUGCACGACGAAGGGAAAUAUAUUCUGCUGCACAUAAGGCAGGAACUGAAGUAUUCUUGAAGAGCCCGAAAAAUCAUAACAAGGGUGUAGCUCUA